rnacentral:hammerhead_ribozyme from 1 species
AUCCAGCCGACAAGUCCCAAAUAGGACGAAAUGCGUGUCCUGGAU